UCAAGAAACAUCUGAAGACGUACCUUUGCUCAAAGAGUAGGAGGAAUAGAUGGUAAUAUUACCAUUAUACCCCGGAUUAAUAGCUACCACUCAUAUCCGUGCCCUAUUCACCCCACCAGCUCAGUAGACAUCUUGAGCAAUGAUCAAUCUAUUUGCUCCCAAGGAACUGGGAAGGCUUUUGUUUGAUAUUUUGAUGUUUUGCUUUCUGUCUGAUAUAACAGGUUGCAUUUUUAAUUAAAUUUUAGUUGUUAAGUCAUAAUUUGUUUUUAUAUGUUGGGUUGUCAAUUUCAUAGAAUCAUAGAAUAGUAGAGUUGGAAGAGACCUCAUGGGCCAUCUAGUCCAACCCACCGCUGUUACGAGUGUACUGUUGUUGUGUUCAGGCACUGAAUGCUUGCCUUUUAUGUUUGAAAUUCAUCCUGAGUCCCUCCGGGGAGAUAGGGCAGAAUAUAAAUUCUUCUUCUUCUUCUUCUUCUUCUUCUUCUUCUUCUUAUUAUUAUUAUUAUUAUUAUUAUUAUUACUUUUUGUAUUGUACUCUGUGUUUAUUUUAUUGCAUUGUUUUAGGCACCUUGUCUCAUAUGUAAGCCGCCCCAAGUCCCUUCGGAGAGAUGGAGGCAAGGUACAAAAAUAAAAUUAUUAUUAUUGUGGUAUACUGUGCCUUUAAGCCACACUCUGUGGUUGUUACAGCUGUAAUGUAUUUAACUACUGAUGGUUGGGAUAUAUAGUUUUGUGCACCCAAAGCCAACAGAAAAAUCAAGAAACAUUUGGGCAUAUAAAAGGUGUAUAUAUGAUUGCUGAUGAUAUGAUUAUAGCAGCUGAGACAAGUAAACAACAUGAGAUUUUACAUCAGGUAAUGGAAACAGCACGUGUCAAAAACAUCAAAUUUAACAAAGAAAAGAUCCAGUUCAGGGUAAACUCUGUUAGAUAUAUGGGCCUUAUUGUGACUGCAGAGGGAGUCAGGCCAGACACUGAGAAAGUAAAGGCAAUUCAAAAAAUGAAACCUCCCAAUGACAGGCAGGGAGUGCUUAGGUUUCUAGGGUCAGUACAGUAUUUGGCAAAAUAAUAUCCCAAAAGAGGCAGAGUUGACAGCGCCAUUGAGAAGUCUGUUAAAGAAAAAUAUGAGUUUUCAAUGGAUGCCAGAACAUCAGAAAGCUUUUGAGGCGAUCAAGCAAAAGUUGUGCGAUGCACCUGUAAUGCAGUAUUUUGAUGUGACAAAACCAGUUGUUAUCCAAGCAGAUGCUUCAAAAGAUGGCUUAGGAGCAUGUCUCCUACAGGAUAAUAAGCCAGUGUCUUAUGCUUCAAGGUCACUCAGUUCCGCAGAGAAAAAUUAUACUCAAAUAGAGAAAGAAUUGCUUGCUGUUGUAUAUGCAGUACAAAAGUUCCAUCAGUAUGUGUUUGGUAAAAUGGUUCUAGUUCAAACUGAUCACAAGCCCUUAGAAUCAAUUUAUAAAAAACCAAUAGGCAGUGCCCCGGCUCGUCUGCAAAGAAUGUUGUUGCAGCUUCAGAAGUAUCAACUUAACUUUGUAUAUACUCCAGGUAAACUUAUGUAUCUGGCUGAUACCUUGUCAAGAGCUACUGUUGAUCCCCCUGGAAGUCAGGAAAAUCCAAUAGGAGAUGAGAAAGUGAUAUAUGAAGUGAAUACAUUAGCCAUGCACCCAGAUAAAAUGGGUUUAGUACAAGAAGCAACAAAAAGUGAUCCCCAGCUUAGGAUGAUUCAAACAUACCUAAACCAAGGAUGGCCAAAGUACAUGAGAAAGGUGGCCUCAAUAGCAAAAUCUUUUUGGCCGGUUAAAGAUCACCUAAGGUAUAGGGAUGGGAUUCUUUUCAUGGGAGAAAGAAUAAUCAUUCCGGCAAGCCAAAGACAAAAUGUUCUUGCACAGCUGCAUGAGUCCCAUCAAGGGAUUCAAAGAACCAAAGAAAGAGCAAGACAGUUGAUGUACUGGCCUGGUAUGUCCAAAGAUAUUGAGUCAGCUGUUGGCAGUUGUUUUGUGUGUGCUUGUUUUGCCCCAAAUAAUCAAAAGGAACCACUUAAACCCCAUGAGAUCCCAGAAGGGCCAUGGCAGAAGGUGGGAGUGGACAUAUUUGAACAGGACAAUUGCUCUUUUCUGUUGGUAAUUGACUAUUUCUCAAAAUACCCAGAAGUAGUAAGUUUACCUGAUAAAACUGCAAGAACAGUAAUUGUCAAGAUGAAAUCUGUGUUUGCAAGACAUGGAACUCCAUUAAUUGUGGUGAGUGAUAAUAUGCCAUUUGCGAGUCAAGAAUUCAAGGUAUUUGCGAAAGAAUGGGGAUUUGAACAAUGCUUUAGUAGUCCGGGGUAUCCACAAUCUAAUGGCAUGGUAGAACGAGCCAUCCAGUCCAUAAAACAACUUACACACAAAGUAGGAAAGGCAAGGGGUGAUCUGUAUGCAGCAUUGUUGGAGUACCGGAAUACAACUGUGACAGGACCUGCACAAAUAUUGAUGGGCAGAAUGCUGAGAAGUAAACUUCCCAUAACAACUGACUUAUUAUGUCCUAGGAUUCCUAUUAACGUGCGUCAAGAACUACAAAGAGCUCAGGAAAGACAAAAACAUUUUUAUGAUCGAACAGCAAGACCCCUCAAACCACUAAGAGAGGGAGAUUUGGUAUGGAUGCAAUCCAAUAAUUGCAAAGAAAGAUGGCUUCCUGCUGUUGUGAUAGAAAAAUGUAAACCACCUCGGUCAUAUCUAAUAAAGAAUCAGGACGGUCGCGUAUAUCGGCAUAAUAGGCGUCAAUUAAAACAACGGAACCAAACACCUGAAGUUACAGUUCAAGGAAAUACAACAUAUAAUGGUCCUAAAGGGAUGUUUGUGAACAAAAGUGACACACAUGUAAUAGCAGAUAGACAGCCAACGUAUGUGACAUCGCAUGGCAGACCUGUGUUUGAACCUGUAAGAUACACUCCUUAGAAGGAUGGUGCUGAAGACCAUCCUCAACGGUGGGCUAAGCACUAGUGACCUCUGGCCCCAAAGAAGACAUAUUUUCUUACCUGUCUAGUGAUGUAAUGAAGCUGCCAAGUUGUAAUGAAAGACUUUUUGUAAUUUUGAUAUGUAUGUUUUUUUAAACACUUUUAUAAAAUGUAUUUUGUUUUGUUUUGUCAGAUGUGUAGUUAUUAUGUAUGAAGAGGAGAUGUGGUAUACUGUGCCUUUAAGCCACACUCUCUGGUUGUUACAGCUGUAAUGUAUUUAACUACUGAUGGUUGGGAUAUAUAGUUUUGUGCACCCAAAGCCUCAGUAGCCUUCCUAGUGUUUGAAUAAACACCUUUGCUACAAGACUCUGCUGGCUGAGGGAGGUUUCCUGUUUUGGUUCAUUUAUCAUGGAGCACAAUGUGAAACAAAAAUCAAACACUUGUGAUACUAAGCAUUCUUUUUUUCUUCUUCAUUCAAGUCAUAAGAGAAAUCAUCAGCAUCAAAACACCAGGUUACCUGGGCCCUCUCUUGAGUGAACGCUGCCACCGCAACCCUGUUUUUGUGUCUCAUUCCUCCCCUGAUGGAACAUCUGCUCAGACAUGCGAGCAAAAAAAAAAUCAAAACGGGAAAGAAAAUCAACAACAAUGUAACGGCUUUUAAAGAAUGGCCUUUCAAUGUGCAGAGUCAUAGAGGAGAACUGGAGCAGCCCUGCUCUACCAAGAUGAAUUUCCCAUGACAGCUAAUAACUGGCUCAUCUAUUGUGCUAUGAUGUUCGGCCUCCCAGUAUUUUCCUUUCACCAAAGCAUAAGUAAAACAAGCAAAAGAACUCUUGCUUUCUUUGGGACAUUUGUUUCCAAUUGUGCAAACACCAUGAAUGCAGUUAUUUUUAUAGGCCUGUUGCGAAAGCAUGGCAUUGGAGUCUUCAUCUUGCAGUUAAUUAUAAAUCAUUGCAGAGCUGGGCUGCCCACAACAAAGUUCUCAGACCCUGAAACAGCACCGUUUGUGUGAUUGCUCCUCUCACAACCCCCUCCUAUCUCAUGCUGUCAAAUCCGCUUUAAAGAAGGGUGAGGGCAUUAUUUUAAGAUGUUAUUAUUGGCUUGGAAAGACAUAAAGUGUAAGUUCCAGGAUACUUUUUUCCCAGAGUAAGAUAACUUGCUUUGCAUCAUCCAUCAUCUGGCUUCUGGCAUAAAUGACAGGACCUCACAUCCAAAUGCCUUUGUAAGACCAUAUCUGAUGGAUCAUGGAAGGCUUGUUGUUUUUCACAAGGGUGUACCAUGAAAAGCCCCUUUCAGAAAUAUUGGGCCUAAAUCAAAGUUUGCUUCUUGAACACACUAAAUGGAAAGACAUUUUCUCCUUGCAUCUACCAGUCUUUUAAACUCUAACUUGCUUGAUCUCUGUGGUUAUCAGCAUAAAAUAUUUCAAGUAACAUUAGAGAGCUUUCCUGUGUUUACCUACCACUUUCCGUUUUAUUAAUGGUUAAACUUAUUGAGGAAUUUACAGCCAUGUCAGAUUGACCUACGCCUUGCCCCCCCCCCCCCCCAGCAGAUUAAUUGCAUAAAAUUCCAGUCAGGAGAUCACAUCAAAUUCUCCUAAAAGAAAUUUAUAACCUUUUUCAAACUUGAAUUUGACAGGAUACAUACAAGAAUAAUGGCUUUCAUCAGUUGUCUUUUCUUUUGAAGAAGAAAAAACAAAGCUGAAGAUCCAUGUUCUAUUUAGCAUUAAACAUAAUGUGUUAAAAGUCUGCAGCUUGUUGUUCUUAUUCAGAAUAAAUUAUUUUUUGUUCACAAAAAACAGUACAAAUUUCCACAGAAGUCAACGAUACUGUUAUUUAGUAAGCAAUUCAAAGAAUACAUUCUCAGUUAAAACUUAGGACCAAUGAAUAGUGAUAUAAGAAAUUACAGCAAGGUCAUAUCCUGGAUAAAGUGCGUUCUAUUGGGCCUCUCUGAAAGGUUUCUAGGGGGAUUUCAUGGUACAAAAUGAUAGUGUUAUAAUUGCACUUUAACUGUCAUGGCAACAUCCUAUGGAAUCUUGGGUUUAGCAUGUAAGGAAGAGUACUUCGGAUUCCAAGCCAGAGAGGUGUGGUGCCUCACAGAACGACAAAUUAUUGGAUUCCACAUUAUCUUUUCAUGGCAGUUUUUGUAGUGCUGUCAUUGUGUGGUUUGUGAAGUCCCCACUCAGAAGUAUUCCAUCCCUCUGAUUUCACAUUCAAGGUCAGGGUCCAGUGGGAGACGGUCUUUAAUUUCCUCCUUCAGUAUGUGAGUGUGUUGUCUGAAACUGUCCCCUCCCCCCCCUCCCCACAAAGCGCUGAGGUUCAGGAAUGACUUAUAGUUAUCCUGCUCGACUUUGGAAGAUGGAAAAAGACCCCCAGCCUAACUGCAUUGAUAAUUCCCUCCUUGCUUUUCCCAUCACCUAAUGAAUUCAGAAGAAGGUGCAGCCAAACACACCUAGCAGAUUGCAGAUUGAAAUGCAGAUAUUUGCUGGGGGUAUCCUGAUCCCAAACACAACACAAUUGACUCCUCUCCAAGAAGAACCAAGCCCAUCAUCCCGGAAUAACUAUCCAUUGUUCAGUCAAGGAAACCUUCCUUUCCCAGUUGACAUCAGUUACUGAACAUUGUUUCCCCUAAAGUAGUCACUAGACUAUCAUAUCACAGCCUAUAUUAAUGACCUCCCAUAGAUAACCCCAGUGGUACAAUGGGUUAAACCCAUGUGCCAGCAGGAUCCAGGAAAAGUGGGUGAGCUCCCUCUGUCAGCUCCAGUUCCCCAUACAGGGACAUAAGAGAAGCCUCCCACAAGUAUGGUAAAGCAUCAAACAUCCAGGCAUCCCCUGGGCAAUGUCCUUGCAGAUAGCCAAUUCUCUCACAUCAGAAGUGACUUGCAAUUUCUCAAGUCACUCCUGACACACACACACACACACACACAAAUAAAUAGGAUGGCACAGCACAGGUGCAUUAGGCGGGUUCAAUAAAAAUUAUUCCAAGUAAAAAGCUGUACAAUUUCCCAGCAUACUGUACACCAGCGGUUCCCAAACUUAUUUGGCCUACCGCCCCCUUUCCAGAAAAAAUAUUACUCAGCGCCCUGGAAAUUAAUUUUUUAAAAAAAUUUAAUAGCAAUUAAACAGAAAGAUAUAUGUACCUGUGGCCACCA